CGUCCGUCGUCGUCGUUAACUUUUACAAAAGUCUUCUCCUCUGCAACUGCUGAUUUAACCACACUUGGCCACAAUCAUCAUUGGGAUAUCUUGUUUAAAAAAUGUGUCCGGUGACCCGGCAAACUGACCAAGAUGGCCGUCAUGGCUAAAAAUAGAACAUAGGGGUUAAAUGUAGAUUUUGGCUUAUAACUCUGAAACCAAAGC
rnacentral:lncRNA from 1 species